rnacentral:lncRNA from 1 species
UCACAGCCAGCAGCAGCUGUGCCCAUAUUUUGCACAUUGAUAACUUCUUUGAUUGAGACCAUUUCAGCUUUUUGGUCUUCCACAAUUGGUGCAAUAGAAGCUGCAAUAGUAGCAUUCAGUCCCUUGCCUUCUUUACAAUCAUUUACAGGUUCCGUUAAGAAGGGCUUCCAAUCCCUUCCCCUCCACAUAAGUAUGUGUUCGUCUUCAAAUGAGAGUAGCACACAUGGAACAAGAUCCUGCAAUUUAAAGAAUUAUGAUAACUAUUUAAUCAGUAAAUGUGAUCAAUAAUAACCUACUAAACAAAUUUAACGACCUAGCAAGUUCAUCUAUCCCUAGGCUUCCUAAUGGUGCUGAAUCCAUGGAUUGUUCAUGUGAUCUUUCAUUUCUUGGAAGUUUAAAACUUUUCUUCUUCUUGCUUUUUUCUGUAUGAGAAAUGGUUGUUACUUCUUUAGCUUCCAAAUCCUUGCUUUCUUGCUCCUCAUCAGACUUUCGAAUCCAUACCUUCCUGGGUUUUUGAAUUCUAAAAACAGGACCACGUGGAGCAGACUGGGCAAAGGCAACUGCUUUUUCAUAAACAUUAUCAGCAUCCAAGUUGGCAUCCUCUAAUAUGACUGCACUUCCGCUCUCAACAGCUUGUUUCAACAAUUGUAGAACUCCAUCUACGCAAAGCGCACUCAAAUUUUCUUGUUCAGCAACAUCACUCGAGUCCACUAAAGCAUCUUGGAGCUUCCCGGUGCUCCCAACACUUUCUAACACAGUGUCGGAUUCCACUGAUAUAGCUGCUGACAUUUCAUUAGCACGGCUCAAAUUAUUCAAUGCUGCUUCACUACCAAAUACGUUGCUGAUAGUUUCAGACCCAAUAACAGCAGAGCUACCUGCAUCAUCUAGUGUGGUAUUGCUUUCACUCAUUUCCCUUGUAGUUGAACUAGCAUCCGCAGCUGCAGGCCCAUCUACAUGAAAUGGAGACUGACCCUCUGUUUGCUCUUCAUAGCCUGCUGCUGCUUCACUACCAAAUGUAUCUCUGAUAGUUUCACACACAUUAACAGAAGAACUACUUGCAUUAUCUGAUGUGGGAUUACUCUCAUUCAUUUCUCUUGUGGUUGAACUGGCAUCCACAGCUGCCGGCCCACCUAUAUGAAAUGUAGACUGAUCCUCUGUUUGCUCUUCACAGCCAGCAGCAGCUGUGCCCAUAUUUUGCACAUUGAUAACUUCUUUGAUUGAGACCAUUUCAGCUUUUUGGUCUUCCACAAUUGGUGCAAUAGAAGCUGCAAUAGUAGCAUUCAGUCCCUUGCCUUCUUUACAAUCAUUUACAGGUUCCGUUAAGAAGGGCUUCCAAUCCCUUCCCCUCCACAUAAGUAUGUGUUCGUCUUCAAAUGAGAGUAGCACACAUGGAACAAGAUCCUGCAAUUUAAAGAAUUAUGAUAACUAUUUAAUCAGUAAAUGUGAUCAAUAA